UGCACUUGACGGGUGUUGUCGAAUCCGAUGAUCCUGAUGAAGGCUUCAGGGUACUCCUUCUUGCACUCGUUAACUUCCUUCAACACUUGUGCUGAGUCAGUGCAUCCGAACAAGGGUAGCUUCCACAUUGUCCAGUACCUUCCAUCGUAGUAUCCGGGGGUGUUACCGUGCUCACGGUGCACAAACCCGUUCUAUAAUAUAAAAAAAAACCAAACCACACAUGUUACGACCACAACAACAACAACAACAACAAAAGUCCAAGAUCUAAGCUAGUUUAUGUUUUUUUCUUACCUCCAACUCGAAUUCAACACAGGGAAUCCACUUGUUGCGGAGGAGGUAGUCAACUUCCUUUCCCAACUCGACCUCGGAAAGGUCAGGAAGGUAAGAGAGAGUCUCGAACUUCUUCUUUCCGAUCGGAGGCCACACCUUUGAGAUUCAGACAAAACAACAUAUGAGUUCAUGUAAUUCGAACGAAAAAAGAAGAAGAAGAAAAAAGAUGUAUGACCUUCAUGCAGCUAACUCUUCCGCCGUUGCUUGUGAUGGAAGUAAUGUCGUUGUUGGCCUUGCGGGUGGAAGGGAAAGCAGCGGAGGACUUAAGUCCGGUGAAAGGAGCGACCAUAGUGGCCUGAGCCGGGGAGGCAACCAUUGUAGCGGAAGAGAGCAUAGAGGAAGCCAUUGUGUUCUUUCUCUUUUACUCUUUUGUGUGACUGAGGUUCUGUCUAGUGCUUUGGUCAUCUAUAUAUAAUGAUAAUAACAAUGAUAACAAUCACUUGAGUGAUCGUAGGGUCGAGGAAUCAUGAGGCUUGAGUGGGAAAGGAUUUAGACCGUUGGAUGAUGAGUGUGUGGAUAUGUGUGUGUGUGUGAGGUUUUAAGUCACUUGGUAACGGCCACAGAAGCCUAAGGUAAGGUCCUGAGAGACCCUUAUCGGUUUGUAACGCUAGAACAGUGCCACGUGGAAGAUAAAUCUUAUCGUUAUCUAUGAGUG
rnacentral:lncRNA from 1 species